AAGAGAGAGGCUUAUUAUGGAGAAGGACGCAGUCAUUCAAGAGCUUCAACAUAAAAUUAGUGAUGCAAAUGUUGAGAGAAAAAAAUUGAAAAAUGAGAUUAAGCGAAUGGAGAUGGAACAGAAAGAUUGCUCCAUGAAGGUAGAUAAACUACUAGAAAGGCAUAGUUGGAUUGCAGCUGAGAAACAAUUAUUUGGAAAAAGUGGGACAGAUUAUGACUUCUCAUCUCGUGAUCCUUGUAAAUCAAGGGAGGAGCUUGAGAAACUUCAAGUUGAACAAUCUGGCCUUGAGAAGAGGGUCAACAAAAAAGUUAUGGCAAUGUUCGAGAAAGCUGAAGAUUAAUACAAUGACUCAUUAUCCAAGAAAAAUAUCAUUGAGAAUGAUAAGUCAAAAAUCAAGAAGGUGAUUGAAGAGCUUGAUGAAAAGAAGGAAACACUAAAAGUUACUUGGGUUAAAGUGAAAAAGUGAGUCAACACUUCUCUGCUCUCAUGUUCCAGUUCAUAUUUUGUGCUUUCUAGUUGAAAAUCAAGAAUGCCAUUUACUUUUGUUAGUUUAUUUCAAUGAAAGA